rnacentral:lncRNA from 1 species
GGUUUGUUUUUGCCUUUUUAAAACCUAUUUCUUUGAGGCAGGUCCAGGAAAAUAUUUUUCUGCCCGAGGGCUGCAUUCCUUUCUGGCCAACCUUCCCUGCUACUGGUGGGUGGGGCCAAAGGCAAAAGCGGGUGGAGCAACAAAUGCAUUUUGUUGUGAAAAGACUAUUUUCUACAUAUACCUUCAUGUUAUGCAGGACCUCUGGGAGAUUUGGCAUUAGAGAACUGAAAAGGAAAGUUCUUCAUAGACUGCUGAAGGGGAGGAGCUUGUAGAGUGUGCUGCACAUGACCUCCCACUUGCUAUUGACCAAAUAGAUAGUGUUGAAGUUUAGUCUUAUUAUAAGUUACUGUAAGUUUAAGUUAAGGCUGCUGCAACUGGAUUUCUUAUGGACAGUACAUAUCCUGAAUGUAUGGGGUUUGUGACCAUUAUGCACAUUUGCCUUCAGUAGCAGUAAAGCUCUGCUGGAUGAAGUACAAUGGCCUCUGGUCUAUUUUGGGGGGAAUCCUGCAACAUGUUUAAGUUUUACUCUGCUAACUUACGUCAGAGUUCUGCUCUGGAUCAAUAUUGAGUAGAAUUCCAUGAGUUACACCUUCAUCAGGAGCGUAUUUCUGUGUCCAUUCCUAGAGCAUUCAUUGCCUGAAGAGAAAGAUGACAGACCAAGAACACGGCUGGACGUUUUCAGAGCUUGCUUGUGUCUAUGUUGCUCAGUCUGUAAAGAGGAAGGUGAAAUACAGCAACACCCAGAGGAAGAGAAGAUAAAUCAUGAAAUAGGUAAUCUCACCUAAUCAAUGAUGUAAUGAAGGGAGAAAGGGAGGGGGUGCAGCUCUGGGAUUCCUUUUUCAGAGCAGGAGCAAUGACAUGAUCUGCUGGAAAAGUACAUGGGUAGAGUUAAGUAGAACGGUGAUUGCUCCAACCAGAUUAAAACUGUAUUAGUUACUUCUACCCUCAACCACCUUUAAACAAACAUACCCCAGCAAAAAUAAACUAGGCUGGGGUAAAUGUAAAUAAGUAAAUGUUUUGCUCACAGCAUCUCCAGAAGUUACAGCAAACAAGUCUCCAUCAACUGGCAGUAAAACAAAGGUGAAAUAUGUUCUAAAUGACUUUAAAAAGUAUUGGUUUCCUUACAAAAGGAUGCUUGGGUUAGCAAAGAUGCAGGCUUUAAAAUCCCCCUUUUGGAGAGAUUCAGUUCACUUGGUUUUUCUUGCAGCUGGGAGCCAAAGGAGGUAGGGAGAGAAUGUGAGGGAUCUCCGCCCCCGCCCCCGCUGUCAACCUGAGCUCAGGUUAACCCUUUCAUGCCCACAAGAGUCUGUCUACCUAGUCCAUGAAACUCUCUCCAGGCCAUACCCCACAAGUCUUGCUCUGAGCUCCU